CCUACGAGCGGCAGCAGUGAGGAAUAUUGGUCAAUGGACGCAAGUCUGAACCAGCCAUGCCGCGUGCAGGAAGACGGCUCUAUGAGUUGUAAACUGCUUUUGUACGAGGGUAAACGCAGAUACGCGUAUCUGUCUGAAAGUAUCGUACGAAUAAGGAUCGGCUAACUCCGUGCCAGCAGCCGCGGUAAUACGGAGGAUUCAAGCGUUAUCCAGAUUUAUUGGGUUUAAAGGGUGCGUAGGCGGUCGGAUAAGUUAGAGGUGAAAUCCCGAGGCUCAACUUCGGAAUUGCCUCUGAUACUGUUCGGCUAGAGAGUAGUUGCGGUAGGCGGAAUGUAUGGUGUAGCGGUGAAAUGCUUAGAGAUCAUACAGAACACCGAUUGCGAAGGCAGCUUACCAAGCUACUACUGACGUUGAGGCACGAAAGCGUGGGGAGCAAACAGGAUUAGAUACCCUAGUAGUC
rnacentral:rRNA from 1 species